rnacentral:tRNA from 1 species
AAGGGUAUAGCUCAACUCAUAGAGUGCAUGCUUAGCAUGCACGAGGUCCUGGGUUCAAUCCCCAGUAUCUCCU